CGCUGUAGUACUCUCAGGCUAGGCACUUAAUGUAAGUUCAGAUUAGGAACGAAAUGAGACUUUUCUGCUAUUAAGUUUAAAGGUAGAUACUUUUCUCACAUCCAACGUUGUUCCCCAUCUUUUUCUAUGACACCUCCCACUCAACCUUAAAGAGAAAGAAACGGAAUUUUCUAUAGAGUUUUAUGGUUAGUGUUACCUCAGCAGUGUUCUCCUUCGGAAUAAGGGUAGCGGUAGUUGGGCAAUGUCUCUCCUGUGCGAGGGAUGAAGGUUCCGUGUCAAGCUUCUUUCUGCCUUACAGUUCUCGCGUUUGGGCUGCUCUUUGGCCAAAAUCCUUCUCUUCAGCCUUCGCUGAGGUCUCUGCUUAGACAUGCCCCCCUCUUUCAUGUUCUCUGUGACCUGAUCCAUCUGAGCUGGAGUCUCUCUCACGGUCACUCCGUCUCCUCAGCCUCUGCCCACUGUGUUCCGCUCCACUGCACUCACCACUCCCACGAGAGAGUAAGCUCUCUGAGGGCAGACACGUCUUACUGCUGUACCCUCAGGGUCAGCUCCCUGGUUAGAGCUUCAAAAUAUAUAUAAAGAGAUAUUUAUUUAUUUUUUUAAGUGGCUGUGGCGGCAAGUCUUAGGUGGACUCAGUGGGAUGUGUAUGACCUUCACUGCAUCGUUGAAUGAUUGCCCAUCAGAAAAAAACAAAAAGUGAAGGGCAACUCGGCAAGGAAAAGAAGUUAGAGAGAUCUGAAGCCUGAGAAGGACUCAAGACGACUGUUGCUUAGAAGAUGGAAGAGGUCACGUGAGAAGGAAUCUGGGCAACCUCUCUGAGUGGAGGGUGGGCACCCAGGUGACAACUGACAAGGAAACCAGGACUGCAGACCUAUAGCUGCAGGGAUUAGAGUUUGUCAACCAGUUUGCUUUAAAAAAUGGUUAUUU